GUACAAAUGAUGUGAAUAAACCGGUAUGACUAACCAUGAUACUGUAAACGCUUUCUGAUGUA
rnacentral:snoRNA from 1 species